rnacentral:rRNA from 1 species
AUGCACGCUGGCGGCGUGCCUAAUACAUGCAAGUCGAGCGAACAGACGAGGAGCUUGCUCCUCUGACGUUAGCGGCGGACGGGUGAGUAACACGUGGAUAACCUACCUAUAAGACUGGGAUAACUUCGGGAAACCGGAGCUAAUACCGGAUAAUAUAUUGAACCGCAUGGUUCAAUAGUGAAAGACGGUUUUGCUGUCACUUAUAGAUGGAUCCGCGCCGCAUUAGCUAGUUGGUAAGGUAACGGCUUACCAAGGCAACGAUGCGUAGCCGACCUGAGAGGGUGAUCGGCCACACUGGAACUGAGACACGGUCCAGACUCCUACGGGAGGCAGCAGUAGGGAAUCUUCCGCAAUGGGCGAAAGCUUGACGGAGCAACGCCGCGUGAGUGAUGAAGGUCUUCGGAUCGUAAAACUCUGUUAUUAGGGAAGAACAAAUGUGUAAGUAACUAUGCACGUCUUGACGGUACCUAAUCAGAAAGCCACGGCUAACUACGU